rnacentral:SRP_RNA from 1 species
CCGCACUAGACGGGGCGGCAGCGGUGCCUUGUACCUGCAAUCCGCUACAGCAGGGUGGAAUCCCGGGGGCUGAGGGGGGAUUUGACCCACGUUUGCAAUGGCUUUGGUGGUGAUGACCGAUUGGUACUGCGCAACGGAGGACUGUGAACCAUGUCAGGCGGGGAACCGAGCAGCAUUAAAC